rnacentral:lncRNA from 1 species
GAAAAAUACUUUUUCAGUGGCUGCUGAUCUCUCACCUAAGAUCAAAAUGUAUGAAGAAUAUUUAAAUUAAGAAUCCUCAGGGAUUACAGGCAUGUGCCACCGCAGCUGGUUUUAAAUUCUCCAAUUUGAAAGGGGCCCUGUUACAAUUUGCAAACAAUAGAUCAGUCCUGGGUAGAUGGAGGGGCUGAAGAACCCAGGAGGAUUGAGGGAAAAAAAAAAUCCCCCCCCCAUGGUUACAUAAUCACUUUUUCCUUCAGCACUGGGAAUUAAACCCGGAGAGCACUGAGCUAUGCCCCUGGCCCUUUUUAUUUUUUAUUUUGAGAUAGGGUCUCACUCAGGUGCCCUAGCUAGCCUGGAAUUUGUAAUCUUCCUGCCUCAGCCUCCUGAGUAGCCGGGAUGACAGGUGUGCACCCCAGGGAUAACAACAAAAACUACGGUAGACUGUGCUUUCAGUUGAUCUUUGUUUCAUCCAGCACGAAAGCAAAGAAUUGUGAGAGAUUUGUAUUAGGAAGAAUGUUAAAGAUUAUUUAAUAACCAAACCAUUUGUUUUUCUUUUUCUUGUUUGUUUGUUUUUCGAGAUGGGCUCACUGUGUAGCCCAGGCUGGCCUCGAACUCAAGGCGAUCCUCCUGCCUCAGCUAACUGGUUGCUUGCUUUCCUGUGUGUGAAUUUGUCAUCAGGAGCAGUGCCCGUCCUCCCUUUAAUGCCCCCCCCCCGCCGCACCCCUGGGAACCGAACCAGCCCUUACAGAAACGCAGCCUCAGAGGCCGGAGCGAGGAUGCCUCGGGUUCUUCCCACCCAGGCGCAGGGUGCGGGAACUUCUCGCUCUCUCCCGGGGACAUUUCUGAGGAGGAGUCUCUGACCCCACUGGGGCGCAAACACACACCCUUGCCCUAAGGAGGACAGAAACACCUGAUUCUGCAGAGAACGUGCAGUGUCAGGUGACUCAUGUUCGCCUCAAUCUGGAAACGAGGUUCUCCUGCAAGGACAGAGCCUUGGUUCCUGGCGCUCUGCUCCCAAGGCAACGCUGUGAGUCACUUCCAUCAGCAAACAGACGCUCUGUGUUCAUCUGUGAAGCCAUGUGGACACAUUGCAGUGGUUGCCCGGCAAUAUUCUGUAAGAACUCUCAUUUUGGAUGCUAAAAGAGAAAGCCACACUCUGUCUCAGGGCCCCUGUGUAAGACACAGGCUUGCUUGGUGUGACGGUGCAUGCCCAUGAUCCCAGCACUCAGGAGGCCGAGGCAGGAGGA